rnacentral:tRNA from 1 species
GCAUCUGUAGUGUAGGGGUUAUCAUCCCAGCCUUCCAAGCUGGGGACUCGGGUUCGAGUCCCGACAGAUGCA